rnacentral:rRNA from 1 species
AACGAACGCUGGCGGCAUGCCUAACACAUGCAAGUCGAACGAGACCUUCGGGUCUAGUGGCGCACGGGUGCGUAACGCGUGGGAACCUGCCCUUAGGUUCGGAAUAACUCCCCGAAAGGGGUGCUAAUACCGGAUAAUGUCUUCGGACCAAAGAUUUAUCGCCUUUGGAUGGGCACGCGUUGGAUUAGCUAGUUGGUAGGGUAAAAGCCUACCAAGGCGACGAUCCAUAGCUGGUCUGAGAGGAUGAUCAGCCACACUGGGACUGAGACACGGCCCAGACUACUACGGGAAGCAGCAGUGGGGAAUAUUGGACAAUGGGCGAAAGCCUGAUCCAGCAAUGCCGCGUGAGUGAUGAAGGCCUUAGGGUUGUAAAGCUCUUUUACCCGGGAUGAUAAUGACAGUACCGGGAGAAUAAGCUCCGGCUAACUCCGUG